GAUGAACGCUGGCGGCGUGCCUAAUACAUGCAAGUCGAGCGAACAGAUGAGGAGCUUGCUCCUCUGACGUUAGCGGCGGACGGGUGAGUAACACGUGGAUAACCUACCUAUAAGACUGGGAUAACUUCGGGAAACCGGAGCUAAUACCGGAUAAUAUAUUGAACCGCAUGGUUCAAUAGUGAAAGACGGUUUUGCUGUCACUUAUAGAUGGAUCCGCGCCGCAUUAGCUAGUUGGUAAGGUAACGGCUUACCGAGGCAACGAUGCGUAGCCGACCUGAGAGGGUGAUCGGCCACACUGGAACUGAGACACGGUCCAGACUCCUACGGGAGGCAGCAGUAGGGAAUCUUCCGCAAUGGGCGAAAGCCUGACGGAGCAGCGCCGCGUGAGUGAUGAAGGUCUUCGGAUCGUAAAACUCUGUUAUUAGGGAAGAACAAAUGUGUAAGUAACUAUGCACGUCUUGACGGUACCUAAUCAGAAAGCCACGGCUAACUACGUG
rnacentral:rRNA from 1 species